CGGCAGCAGCGGCACCGAGCUCGCCGAGCUGCUGGAGGUGCUUGUGGUGCUUCUCCUCCUUCCUGUAAUCGACCGUAGGCUCCGUGAAGAUGACCCCAGGCUCUGUGAAGGCAUCAUCCUUCUUGUGGUGGCUGCGGUGGUGGUUGUGGUGGUGGUGAUGGUGGUGUCCUUCGGCCAUGGUUGGUGGUUGUUUUUUUUUUUGAGGAAUACUAGAAUUGACGAAGGAUCAGUGAAAGGACUAUAGCUGAAGUGUAUG
rnacentral:lncRNA from 1 species